ensembl:lncRNA
UAGAGAGAGAGAAAGAGAGAGAGACAGAGAGAGAGACUUAGUUAGUGCAGCAAAACUCAGGCUCGUACACUCAGAGACUCAGCGUACUCUCAACAUACUGUAGGCUCCCUACAUUCGCAUUAUGGCCCAGGCCAAAAGUGACGCGGGUCUCGACUCUGAGAUUUCUAGUGAUACAGUCGUCCAGUCUACUGUGGGACCAAGUACAGACCUGGACAGUCGAAGCAAUGAGGAGGAAGAGGAGGAGGAAAUCGAGCUUGCGGAGGAAGUGGAUGAGUAUAUUGGCUUUGGAAGUGAGAACGGCACAACAGGGAAGCAGAUAGACGACAGUGGAAAGUCUCCACUUGGCCAGGAAGAGGAAUCUAAGCUGGCUGUGGUCAUAGUGCAUGAAAACCCAGAAGCUGAAGAACAAGGCAACAUGGAUGAGGAAAGUACUAAUGAUGGAGAAUCUACGGAACAAAUGGAUGCCCCAAAGGAAGAGCUUGAAAAUGUAGCAGAAAAGACAAUGACGAAGACAGAUGAUGAGCCAGAACAAGCACAAGCUAACUUAAAUUUAAAUGAGCCACAGAAUGAAACUGAACCAGCACCUGCACUAUUACCAUCCCAAAAUCCCAUCCCAAAAGCACAGCCCAUUGCUGAAGAACCUUCUGCAACAAACAUGGAGGACAAGGAGCUGGAGCUUGAGCUUGACAAGCCACAAACUCAACUGGAGGAAGUUCCAACAAAAUCUCAGGAAAUCCAAGAGGAAGAGAGGAAGUCUUACAUUUUCAAUGCAAACUCAGAAGACAAAGGUAUAAUAAAGAUAGAAAAGGUGGAGGAAAAGUCAGAUAUUCAGGAACAGGCUGGAGAAGAACGUGGCACAAAGACAGAAAUGGAACAAGUGGUGGCACAGGCAUCAUCUGAGGUAGGAAUGAUGGAGAGUCAGAGCCUGGAGAUAGAAAACCAAGCUAAUUUUCUCUGUUCUAAUGAUAAGACAUUGCAGGAAACUGUGCAUUUGACUGAUGCCAUUUCCUUUGAAGUACCCCAGAAUAAAGUUGAGCAACCUACAGAACUGGAGAAGCAAUGCAUUGUCAGUACAAAUGCUACAGUUCAGGAGGUUAAAGAAGUGGUGGUAGAUGCUGUGUUAGGUGAUCAACCAGCUAAUGAGUUCCAACAGUCUGAAAAGUCUAAACAAGUUGCAAGCCAUCCUGUUUUGAGGAGUGAGAUAGGUAUUGCUGAACAGGAACAAGCACUAGAGAAGAAACAACCAGAUUUGUUCAACAGGUUAAUCACAAAGGAGCCAUUGCUAGAACACGUAGAAGAUAAAACAGCAGCGGUGGCAGUGGUAGAAACCAAUGCUGAGGUCCCAACAGAUGACUCAAAGGAGCCUAAUGUGGAAGGACUUGCUAUUGUUAGUCAGCCUGAUGAAGAAAUCCAAGCUGAGGAGAAUAAAACAGAGGUGAACAAAGUUAAAACAGAAUUAGUUAUACCAAAUGUGUCUUCAGUAGAAGCAGAAAAAGACUGCCAAACCAUUCCCAAAUCACCAGAGUCCUUUCAAAAUGAUGAUGCCUUUAAAAGUGACAGUGGACACGCCAAUAAGACCAAGCAACAGACCACUGUAGAAGAUGAGCCGAUGAACAAAGAGCUCGACGAGGUGAGAUUGGAGAAGGAGGCCACCAUUUCUUCAACGGUUCAACAGCAAACAGAAGAGGCUACAAGCAAUGAAGGCAACAAGCUUUCAAAGAUGGCCGACGAGACUGGUCUGGAAUUAGCGGAAGAGUGUGAAGAACUAAAGAUGCAAGAUGAACAGCCGAUUGAAUCAGUAGAAAAAGAUAUACCAGAAGAAAAAGAGGGAGAUAAUAAAGAAAUACCUGUUGAAAAGGAACAAAAGAAACAUGAAGAAAAUCUCAUUCAAAUCACAGAGGAUCCGACCGCUGACCUGAGAGAGAAUACAGGUCCAGUAAAGCAGGUCAGCAAGGAGGAGGGAGGAGUGUGUAAUGCGAUAGAGAAGCCAGCAGCGAAGGGAGUGUGUAAGAAGAUAGAACAGCCAGGUGAGGUCAGCAAGGAUGAACCUGACCCCGUGCAGGAGAGAAGGAGCAACAGGCUAGUGCUGGAACAGCUGAUCAGAGUGAUUGAAAGCAAGCAGAAGGCAGCAGAAGCAGAGAUCACCAAAAAGGAACAGCCAAGUUCAAGUCCAGUCACUGAAGUGGUGCCAAAAGCAGCACAGGAAGAAGAGAGUAAGGUAGUAGAACAGUCCAAGGCCGUCACUGAGGACGAGCCAAAAGAUGAGCCAAAGAAGAGAGUGAGAGAGGGAGGGCGUAAAGUGGCGAUACCCGCCUGGUUAAUUGCCAGCAAGACAUCAGAAGUACAGGAGCCUCCGAAACCCCCUGUUAAUCGAUUGAGGAAGUUUAGCAUUGAGCGUGAAGCAGAGACAGGUUUUAAAGCCAGAAGUCCAGAGGUCAUGGUGGAAAAUGGACUUCUCGGGUCUCCAGUGAGAAAGCAAUCAGCUCAGCUGAAGAAGUCGCCCCCAGACGUGAUGCCAGAGGAAGCUGUGGAGCCUGCAAAGACGACUCCAGUGGAGAAAAAGAAGGAGAAGAUUUACAGUUCUGAUCCUGCGGACUGGGAGAUCUCCCUCUAUGUGAAGGUAUUUUAAAACACUAGAUUUAGAAACUAUAAUCAUAUUGAAUUAC